rnacentral:rRNA from 1 species
UAGGGAAUCUUCGGCAAUGGACGAAAGUCUGACCGAGCAACGCCGCGUGAGUGAAGAAGGUUUUCGGAUCGUAAAACUCUGUUGUUAGAGAAGAACAAGGACGUUAGUAACUGAACGUCCCCUGACGGUAUCUAACCAGAAAGCCACGGCUAACUACGUGCCAGCAGCCGCGGUAAUACGUAGGUGGCAAGCGUUGUCCGGAUUUAUUGGGCGUAAAGCGAGCGCAGGCGGUUUCUUAAGUCUGAUGUGAAAGCCCCCGGCUCAACCGGGGAGGGUCAUUGAAAACUGGGAGACUUGAGUGCAGAAGAGGAGAGUGGAAUUCCAUGUGUAGCGGUGAAAUGCGUAGAUAUAUGGAGGAACACCAGUGGCGAAGGCGGCUCUCUGGUCUGUAACUGACGCUGGGGCUCGAAAGCGUGGGGAGCAAACAGG